CUGAAAACUCCCAGCAGCCAGCUAUGUAUGAAAGGUGGGGGCGGGACCACCGGCAGGGUGGGGCCUGAAGAGCCAUAUGCCUGGGCUCCCACAUCACAAUGGGAACGGGGCACGUGGAGCGUACUCUGGGCCUGAUUGGUUCCUGGGAACCAAGACAGAGUUCCCCUUGUUGGCAGGGCAACCUCCUUCAGUUGCUGGGAAGCAGUGGAAGGAGGAGGAGCUCCCUCUGUGCUCUCUUCUCUGCAAUCACAGCUCUGAGCUGGUUCUUUUUUUUUUUCACUGCGGAGAUAUUGCCAAAGCAGGACAUAGAAGAUUCACAUAAAAAGCACAUCUGCGUGGAGAAGGAGUGCCAUGUGACUCAGAUAACGAAGAAUAAGAUAACUCCAGACAAACUUCAUAAAGAACAAACAAAAUCAGCCUUAUCAAGAAAAAGGCAUCUCUUCAUUUGGAGUGACUGGACCUUCACAGCCUGUAUGGCUUCAUCCAAGAGCUUCUGCUCAUCCUGAGGGGACUGCUGCAUUGUAGGCUGAAAAAAUAAAAAAUGCCACUGACGUCUAAAGGACAUUCUUGUAGCAAAUAUGUUAUUUCUAUAGUUCUAGCCAUAGUCCUUCUCCAAGACUGUCACAAAAGGAUCAAUCCAGCUCUAUACCUCAGACCCAUUUACCAAUUAUUGACAGCUGCUGCACACAGAGUCAUGCCCCAUCACUGAAGUUAACAGAGUAAGACUGACAAAGGAGAACAGUAUGUGUACAGAGAAUUGCCUCUCCCUCAGAAACUGACUCAACAUUCUUGUAGUAGGCUGGCAUCAAAGAAACUUGCAGUGGUAGUUCAUGGCUGUGUUCUGCUAACACACUCUGAAUCCAGCCCAGACAUAGCCAUCUGACCAAUCGAAAUCUUGUGAUAGGUAUAGCCGAAACCAGUCUCUAAAGCCUCUCUUUUCCCCUAGACUACUUAUCAUCUGCAUUUCAAUCUAUUCUUAGACAAACUAAGGAACUAGUUUAUGAGAUCACUGACCAUUAAUAUGCACUAUUUACUAUGACAUUUACAUCCUCAUUACUAUAAUUUAUUCCCAAGUAAAUGUCUUUUACUUUAGAGAGUCUUUGUGUGUUUGUUGUUUAGGUUUACACAUGUGGUGUCGUAAAUGGGACCUGAAAAGUUUGCUAUGGGAAGGAACUGGUGAUUCUCGGAGCACAUAAGCAGUCCUCACUUUACACCGCUGAGUGCUCUGCUCCUGUAAGUCACCAUUUCUGCCCUGGUGAAUCUUCCCUCAGGUUAAGGAUCUGUUACUUUGAUACAGGAUUUUUGACAUUGUUGGGAUCUGGUUUGAAUAAGGCUACUUUAAUAAAAGACCAUCUAUCCCUCCUAGGAUAAUAAAAGGGCUUUUGUCUAUUCUGUUAAGACUUUUCUGCUGUCAAGACAAAUAUCUUUCUGGAUUGAGCACUCUUAUUUUGUGCCAAACUUACCUUCUGUCUGUGAAGCAUUUAUUUUCUGGUUUGCACACCUAGUUUAAUAUUUUGCUUGAUUUACAUAUUUUUGUGAACAUUUUAAUCCUGGUUUCCUG
ensembl:lincRNA